rnacentral:ncRNA from 1 species
UGUAAAGUGAUGAGGGAGAUAAAAAUACUAGUCUUCUAACUACAGAGAGCUGAUAUUUGGUGGAAAUCAGUGUUAGAAAUGUAUAUAAUGAUCACUCCUUAGCUUCCGAUUUGAAAUAUUUUAAGUAAAUGACGACGGUUUCCACCGAUAAAUGGAUAGAGUUCAAGUAAUUUUAAAUUUAUAUUUACUUCGACUUGAUUAAAGGCGAUUAUUUUAAUCGUAAAAUAGGGUGGUACCGCGAAAAGCUUUCGUCCCUAUG